CUGGGAGGCCACAAACCAUGGAAGCUGUACGCAUGGCGUAGUGGACUAGCGGUUAGAGGAGACCCCUCCCUUACAAAUCGCACCAACAAUGGGGGCCCAAGGUGAGAUGAAGCUGUAGUCUCACUGGAAGGACUAGAGGUUAGAGGAGACCCCCCCAAAACAAAAAACAGC
rnacentral:lncRNA from 1 species